GCCGGGAUGGCGGAACUGGUAGACGCGCUGGACUCAAAAUCCAGUUCUGGCAACGGAGUGCGGGUUCGAUUCCCGCUCCCGGUA
rnacentral:tRNA from 1 species